rnacentral:rRNA from 1 species
UACGUAGGGGGCAAGCGUUGUCCGGAUUCAUUGGGCGUAAAGAGCGUGUAGGCGGCCAGGUAGGUCGGUUGUGAAAACUGGAGGCUCAACCUUCAGAGGUCGACCGAAACCAUCUGGCUAGAGUCCGGGAGAGGAGAGUGGAAUUCCUGGUGUAGCGGUGAAAUGCGCAGAUAUCAGGAAGAACACCCGUGGCGAAAGCGGCUCUCUGGAACGGUACUGACGCUGAGACGCGAAAGCGUGGGGAGCGAACAGGAUUAGAAACC